GUGUGACAUAGCAGUAAGUAUAGAUGUGUUAAUGUUCUGUUUUUUUUUUUUUUUUGGUUUUUUUUGUGAUGCGUUUUUUGUUUGCUUAACUACAGCUUUAUAUUUUUAUUAUAGUGCUUUCCAGCAUGUAAAGUCGGUAAAACAGGAAUGUUUUCCUACCCCACUAAAAUAGCCAAGAUAGGAUACUAGGUUAAACUAUGUAUGUCAUAUAUACAUAUUAUAU
rnacentral:lncRNA from 1 species